rnacentral:rRNA from 1 species
CCUACGGGAGGCUGCAGUGGGGAAUAUUGCACAAUGGGGGAAACCCUGAUGCAGCGACGCCGCGUGAGUGAAGAAGGAUUUCGGUAUGGAAAGCUCUAUCAGCAGGGAAGAAAAUGACGGUACCUGAUUAAGAAGCCCCGGCUAACUACGGGCCAGCAGCCGCGGUAAUACGUAGGGGGCAAGCGUUAUCCGGAUUUACUGGGUGUAAAGGGAGCGUAGGCGGGAGUAUAAGUCUGGAGUGAAAUGCCUGGGCUUAACCCCGAAACUGCGUUUGAAACUGUGCAGCUAGAGUGCAGGAGAGGUAAGUGGAAUGCGUGGUGUAGCGGUGAAAUGCGUAGAUAUUAGGAAGAACACCAGUGGCGAAGGCAGCUUACUGGACUAUAACUGACGUUGAGGCUCGAAAGCGUGGGUAGCAAACAGGAUUAGAUACCCGUGUAGUC